rnacentral:rRNA from 1 species
AACGAACGCUGGCGGCAGGCUUAACACAUGCAAGUCAAGCGCCCCGCAAGGGGAGCGGCAGACGGGUGAGUAACGCGUGGGAAUCUACCCAUCUCUACGGAAUAACGCAUGGAAACGUGUGCUAAUACCGUAUACGUCCUUCGGGAGAAAGAUUUAUCGGAGAUGGAUGAGCCCGCGUUGGAUUAGCUAGUUGGUGGGGUAAAGGCCUACCAAGGCGACGAUCCAUAGCUGGUCUGAGAGGAUGAUCAGCCACACUGGGACUGAGACACGGCCCAGACUCCUACGGGAGGCAGCAGUGGGGAAUAUUGGACAAUGGGCGCAAGCCUGAUCCGGCCAUGCCGCGUGAGUGAUGAAGGCCCUAGGGUUGUAAAGCUCUUUCACCGGUGAAGAUAAUGACGGUAACCGGAGAAGAAGCCCCGGCUAACUUCGUGCCAGCAGCCGCAGUAAAAC